UACGUAGGGUGCGAGCGUUAAUCGGAAUUACUGGGCGUAAAGCGUGUGUAGGCGGAGUGCUAAGUACCUUGUGAAAUCCCACGGCUCACCCGUGGAACUGCUUGGUAUACUGGUUCUCUUGAGCCACCUAGGGGCGAGCGGAACAAGUGGUGGAGCGGUGAAAUGCGUAGAUAUCACUUGGAACGCCAAUGGUGAAAACAGCUCGCUGGGGGUGUGCUGACGCUGAGACACGAAAGCCAGGGGAGCGAACGGG
rnacentral:rRNA from 1 species